rnacentral:tRNA from 1 species
UAAAUUUUAGUUUAAAUUAAAAUAUUUUUAUUACAAAAAAAAGAUAGAUUAUUUUCUAAAUUUAA